CACCGCCCCCAUCGCACAAGGCCUGCCGGCUGGGGACACUCCCCCUGCCCCCGAGUGACCUAGCAUCCCAGUCCCAAGACGCUGGUGGGGGGCGGGGGGCGCAGGAGUGUCCCCCGUACGAGAUGGCCCCAGACCAGGUGUGCCAGAGCACAGUUUCCAGGCAGGCUGCAGGGGCGCAGGCCCUCCGGGAAGGGCAGGGUUAAGAGUGCAUUCCAGCUGCCGGGGAAGAAGGGGGGCGGGGGAGGGGAGCGCGGAGAAGAGAAACAGACCCGGUCUGUCGGAGACACAAAGCACGGUUCACAAAGGGGCCCGAGAGGGGCGAAGGGGGCUGCCCAGGGCACGGCUCAUCCCCACACCUGCGCGGGGGCUGGGGGAAGAAUGUGGACCGCGCAUUCCUCUGCAGGGGCCAGCCAGGGAGAGCUGCCUACGUCGGGGCUGGGUGAGGGGCUCAGCUGCCCGGCACCCCAAAGGAAGGGGUCAAGGGAGCAGUCCCGACCCGGCAAGGGGUGGACAGUGGAGUACCUGGAGGAGUAGGAGGAGGGACGCGAGAGGCCCACUGGGGAGCCCCAUGGCUGGAGAGAGAGGAGCGAAGAAGCUGGCGCGACGGCUGGCUCGUGCUCCGCUAAGCUCUGCGCGCCCCUUUGAGCACGGCGGCCCGCGGGCGCUAGCGGGAAGAGGCCAGGUGAGCGCAGCUACAAGCGGGGGAAAAAACGGAGACGCAUCUGAACCCGACUGAAAACAGAGGCUCCUCAUUCAUGCUCCCCGGAGGCGCCCUCUUGCCCCAAAGCUUUGAUCCACCCCACACCCGGCGACAGCGGGGGCCGCCCCCUGCCUCCUUCACCACCUCCCGUACCAGCCCGCGGUGAGGAUGCGGGGUUGAAUACUGGCAGUGACGUCCCGAGGGACCGCCUUACAGAAUCUGAAACAACUUGCCUGAGAAUCAUGACCUUUCACAGGUUAGGAGAGAAGUUCCCAGAGUUUGGAAGCGGUAGUGGCUCCAGAGGGUGCGAGGUAGGGGGUGGUUAUUAGCCCCGUAAUCUCCAACGCCCCUCCCCCCAAAUGUAAAUAACCCUCUCUCAACUAUGUAAACAAAGGCAAUUUUUAUAAACGCAGUUGCUUUUAUUAGUCUGAAAUACUGCAUACAAUCAAAGUAAAAACUGCGUGCUGUGCAAAGCAGCCUUCAGUGAUUCUCCCUUGGAAAACAGCUCUCCUACACCCUUCUGGGAGACAAGCGCAGCGCUGGGAUUCCUUCCUCUAUUCUACGUUACUCUCAUCCCACUACUGUGGA